rnacentral:rRNA from 1 species
GACGGGGGAUGCGAGCGUUAUCCGGAAUGAUUGGGCGUAAAGGGUCCGCAGGUGGCCCGGUCAGUCCGCUGUCAAAGCCUGGGGCUCAACCCUGGAGAGGCGGCGGAGACCACCGGGCUUGAGUCCGGUAGGGGCAGAGGGAAUUCCCGGUGGAGCGGUGAAGUGCGUAGAGAUCGGGAAGAACGCCAAGGGCGAAGGCACUCUGCUAGGCCUGAUUUCGCGACUGACACUCAGGGACGAGAGCCAGGGGAGCGAAUGGG